AAGUCGUAACAAGGUUUCCGUAGGUGAACCUGCGGAAGGAUCAUUAGUGAAUAAAUAGGGUGUCCAAUUUAACUUGGAACCCGACCUUCUCACAUCUAACCCUGUGCAUCUGUAUUUAAUGGCGAGCAAUUUUCGAAUUGUAAGCCAUUUCACUUUAUAAACACUAGUCUAUGAAUGUAAAAUUUUUAUAACAAUAAAAACUUUCAACAACGGAUCUCUUGGCUCUCGCAUCGAUGAAGAACGCAGCGAAAUGCGAUACGUAAUGUGAAUUGCAGAAUUCAGUGAAUCAUCGAAUCUUUGAACGCAUCUUGCGCUCUCUGGUAUUCCGGAGAGCAUGUCUGUUUGAGUGUCAUGAAUUCUUCAACCCAACUGUUUCUUGUAAACAGCUGGUGUUUGGAUUCUGAGCGCUGCUGGCUUCGUGCCUAGCUCGUUCGUAAUACAUCAGCAUCCCUAAUACAAGUUUGGAUUGACUUGGCGUAAUAGACUAUUCGCUAAGGAUUCAAUGUUCUGCAUUGAGCCAACUUAGUUAAGGAAGCUUCUAAUUGAAAAGUCUACCUUUAGAUUAGAUCUCAAAUCAGGCAGGAUUACCCGCUGAACUUAA
rnacentral:rRNA from 1 species